AAAUUGGAACUUACUAUUAACAUGUGGGUAUUUUUAUGCAAAAACAGACAAAAGAACUCCAAGUUUUGGACUAUGAGCUUCAACAUUUGCAAGAUAGCAGAAAGCUAUACCUAAAUCAGCCAAACAGUAAUCUGUAUUUCCUCUGCAGUAAGGCUGAAGCUCUCAGCCACUUGGAAAAGCAAAAGGAGAAGCUUUCAGAAAUGAAAAAGAAAACAUAGGAUAAUUCAUACAUUCAUUUGGAAAUCUUGUGUAUGUUCAUGGUAUUCAAGAAGCAUUUUUAUUCAUAAGUGUAUUCCCUUUUUUUUUUUUUUUUUCUUUUCCUUUCUUUUCUUUUCUUUUUCGUUUGUCAGUUUGAGUGUGAGAACAAUUUUGUAACUAGUGUACGAGUAAAUUAGUAUGUUGGCAUAAAUUUUGAAAUUCUGUUAUUAUUUCACACAUAUUUGGACCAACUGUUUUAAAAUUGUGUAUGCUGAGAAUAAAUAUGAUGAGCUAUAAUUCAUUUCAUUGCUCAUAUGCUUUUAGCAUCUGUAUUCCUCUAUAUUGUUCCAUGUGGAUAUGUUUGAAGCUGAAAAUGUGUCGGUAGUCUUCAGAGUAUUUUUAAAUAGAUGUUUCUCAAGUUAUAGGUAUUGUAAAAUCAGCAGGGAAAUUUGAAUUAAUGUGUAUAUGUAUUUUUUUAUGAUUUUGUGCAUGAAAUAAGAUAUAUGAUGUUCCCCAUAUUACAAAGAAUUUUGUUCAAAGCUUAGACAUGGAUAUGGAAAUAAAUAUCUUGAAGGCA